GGAUCCAGACUUUGAUUAUGGCUCAGAUUGAACGCUGGCGGCGUGCCUAACACAUGCAAGUCGAACGCGAAAGUUUCUUCGGAAAUGAGUAGAGUGGCGCACGGGUGAGUAACGCGUGGAUUAUCUACCUACUGGUACGGGACAACAGUUGGAAACGACUGCUAAUACCGUAUACGCUGGUAACGGGAAAGGGGGCCUCUUCUUGAAAGCUCUCGCCAGUAGAUGAGUCCGCGUUUCAUUAGCUAGACGGUGGGGUAACGGCCUACCGUGGCAACGAUGAAUAGCAGGCCUGAGAGGGUGGCCUGCCACACUGGGACUGGAACACGGCCCAGACUCCUACGGGAGGCAGCAGUGGGGAAUAUUGCGCAAUGGACGAAAGUCUGACGCAGCGACGCCGCGUGGAGGAUGAAGGUUUUCGGAUCGUAAACUCCUGUCAGAGGGAAGAAACCUAUUAUGAAUAAUACUCAUGGUAAUUGACGGUACCUCUAGAGGAAGCACCGGCUAAUUCAGUGCCAGCAGCCGCGG
rnacentral:rRNA from 1 species